rnacentral:lncRNA from 1 species
AGACAAUCCCUUUAAAGACUCUUCAAAUAGGAUCCUAAUUUAAGCCUCACAUCAGCUGGCUGAGGCCAAAUCCAUUUCAAAUCGUGGAAAGGAGAUGCUAGUCUCUAUCACAUCUUUUUUCUUGACUUGCUGCUUUAGAAACUUUGGGGGAGUUUUCCUUGGAUGCCUUGCCACGACUUCACCAGAGAAGAUGUGAUCUUACUUUUAACAAAAAGAAACACCAUGAAACUGGAGCAAAAAGUUUUAAGGAGCUGCUAUUCAGGUCAUUGAGGUGAAAGCAGGUCCAUCUUGCUUCAUUUUACUUGCUCAUCCAGAAAUUGACCAUUGUGGAAAAUCU